UACGUAGGGUGCAAGCGUUGUCCGGAUUUAUUGGGCGUAAAGAGCGUGUAGGCGGCCAGACAAGUCUGCUGUGAAAACUCGAGGCUCAACCUCGAGCUGUCGGUGGAAACUGUCUGGCUAGAGUCCGGAAGAGGAGAGUGGAAUUCCUGGUGUAGCGGUGAAAUGCGCAGAUAUCAGGAAGAACACCCGUGGCGAAAGCGGCUCUCUGGAACGGUACUGACGCUGAGACGCGAAAGCGUGGGGAGCGAACAGG
rnacentral:rRNA from 1 species